UAUAGUCGUGUUUGGCUCAGUAUUAGACAAGAUUCACCUAACGAGUCAACUACCCUAAGUUUGCUCUGCUGUUAAUUCUCGCAAAAUCAGUUUGUUCUUCGCUGCUAUUGGAGACUUUCAGCAAAACAUACGGAGGGCAAAGGGCAGUGACUGCGUACAGGACUGUGAUUGGGACACAGCCCACAUUUCUGAGCGUGAUACCUGAAGACAGCCAGGAUUCUCCACAAGCACUGCAUCUGGAGGCUUUGCACAGAGCAAUUACUCUAGAAGGAGCCAUAGUGAUGGAUGAUCCUGAAAAUCUUCCACAUGCCAUGUGCCGCUUUUUGGGCUGAUAUAUGCACUAAAUUUGGAGUAUCCUCUACAACUAAAGAACACCUUUGAUUUUAUGCAAAGAGUGUUUCUUUCCCUUGGACAUAAAUCCCUGAAACCAAAACUACAGUCACUUAAAAACCUUCUGCUGAUGGAAGUCAAUGCUGUGUGAGAUUGUGUUAAGCUUGUGGUUGAACAAAAGUCAGGAUUCUUGGGUGUUGUGUUUGAAACAGUCACUCGUCAGUCGUAAUUAGUCUGCAUUUGGAUUAUAUUGUAAAAGAAAGAUUGUUUUUAGUUGCACUGCACAUUUGAGUUGUGCAAAGAAUUGUUAAUGUUACACUGAAGAAUAAUGUUUGGCAUUUAGGAAUGUCUGAAUGGCAGUGUUUGGUACAUUGUAGUGCCUGAAGAAAACUGAAGAAAAAUAAAUAAUGUUUUGCUGGAGUUUAUUGUUGCUUUUUGUCUUAAAUUAAUUUUUGAAGUUCAGCUUACUUGAAAAUUUUAAGGCAAUCGGUUUCCUCACUUUUUCUAGGUAAAGUCAACUUAUUACAUUUUACAGUGAAAUUGCUCACACUCUGCUGAGAUAUGGCAAAAACCCCCACAAAAAUCUAGAGCUGAAUAUAAACAUAAAUGAAAAGACAAUAAUGUAUGGAAUAUUUGGAGGAAAAAAAUAGCCAAAAAUAUAAAAGAUUUUUAUUGGCUUAUAAUGUGUAUUGUUAAGUAUAAAAUGUGGAAAACAAGGUGCAAUGAUCAGUAAGCAAUGCCAUCUCCCAGCUGAGACGCUUUUUAAACUAAUCUUAAAUCAACUAAAAAGACAAAGGACAAUGGA